GCCUUCGUGGUGUAAUGGUCAGCACGCUCGACGUGUAACCGAGAGGUGUCCGUGGUUCAAUUCCCGGCGAAGGCG
rfam:Stegodyphus mimosarum contig73162, whole genome shotgun sequence.